rnacentral:tRNA from 1 species
CAUGGCGUGGGGGAAGUUCUUGUUGCGCUCCAGGUUCUGACCGUGGAAGGCCUCCACGGUGGUGCCGAACUUGCCCGGCAUGCC